rnacentral:rRNA from 1 species
ACGAACGCUGGCGGCGUGCUUCACACAUGCAAGUCGAACGGAAAGGCCCUGCUUUUGUGGGGUGCUCGAGUGGCGAACGGGUGAGUAACACGUGAGUAACCUGCCCUUGACUUUGGGAUAACUUCAGGAAACUGGGGCUAAUACCGGAUAGGAGCUCCUGCUGCAUGGUGGGGGUUGGAAAGUUUCGGCGGUUGGGGAUGGACUCGCGGCUUAUCAGCUUGUUGGUGGGGUAGUGGCUUACCAAGGCUUUGACGGGUAGCCGGCCUGAGAGGGUGACCGGCCACAUUGGGACUGGGAUACGGCCCAGACUCCUACGGGAGGCAGCAGUGGGGAAUAUUGCACAAUGGGCGGAAGCCUGAUGCAGCAACGCCGCGUGCGGGAUGACGGCCUUCGGGUUGUAAACCGCUUUCGCCUGUGACGAAGCGUGAGUGACGGUAAUGGGUAAAGAAGCACCGGCUAACUACGUG